rnacentral:rRNA from 1 species
UGGGGAAUUUUGGACAAUGGGCGAAAGCCUGAUCCAGCAAUGCCGCGUGUGUGAAGAAGGCCUUCGGGUUGUAAAGCACUUUUGUCCGGAAAGAAAUCCUUGGCUCUAAUACAGUCGGGGGAUGACGGUACCGGAAGAAUAAGCACCGGCUAACUACGUGCCAGCAGCCGCGGUAAUACGUAGGGUGCAAGCGUUAAUCGGAAUUACUGGGCGUAAAGCGUGCGCAGGCGGUUUGCUAAGACCGAUGUGAAAUCCCCCGGGNUCAACCUGGGGAACUGCAUUGGUGACUGGCAGGCUAGAGUAUGGCAGAGGGGGGUAGAAUUCCACGUGUAGCAGUGAAAUGCGUAGAGAUGUGGAGGAAUACCGAUGGCGAAGGCAGCCCCCUGGGCCAAUACUGACGCUCAUGCACGAAAGCGUGGGGAGCAAACAGGAUUAGAUACCCUGGUAGUCCACGCCCUAAACGAUGUCAACUAGUUGUUGGGGAUUCAUUUCCUUAGUAACGUAGCUAACGCGUGAAGUUGA